UAACGCCCGUGAAAGUGUUGAGGAUUGUCGAGACGAAAACCAAUGGCUGCGGCUUUGUUUUGGCGGGGGUUUGUUGGCAGAACACGUCAAUGAGUGACUUAUUGUGGGAAAGGUCUAGCAUUAGUAAUUUCACCAAACUAUCAUGGCCUUAUUCAAGUCUAAUGCUGUCUCAAUAUUUCUUGUUUUUUAUGGAUUUUCAUGCAAUUUUUUGCCUUCAACUAGUAACAAUUUGGAAGUUUGUAACUUGUGUAGAUGUUACAAUCUUUUUGGUCUCGCAGUGGUUAACUGUUCGUCUAGUGGGGUACCGAAGAUUAUUCCUGAUGAAGCUAAAUACUUAGACCUUUCAAAUAAUGGAAUCUCGAGUCUUAGACAGCAUCAUAUAGAAGCAUUCAAGAAUGUAGAAAUAAUAGAUUUAACCAACAAUCCUCUAAACUGUGAUUGUCAUCUCGCGCUGUCAAUCAAAGAGCUGACGUCAGCAUCGAGUGUCGUCAAAGGAAAGUGCUCACGCCCCACGGACCUCGCAGGAGUCAAUAUCGAUCAUAUCUACCUCAAGAUUACGCCAUGCAAUUUUUCAGGUUCAACCCAUGUUAACGUCAUUAGUCAACGAGUCAGAAGAUCUUCAGAACUAAAACAGUGCAUUCCAGGAACACCAGAUUGCGCCUAUGUCGUAUGUGGAGGGUGGUUCCUAUGGUUACCUACCACGACGCACUGGGGCUGCUGUAACGGCGUCAUCCACAACCUUACGUCAUCGUACUGUGAAGCAAACAUGGGAGUGAGAGUGAAGCAAUGCACCAAGAAUGACUUCCGCUGCAACAACCAACAUUGCUUACCAAGAUAUUGGGUCUGCAACGACUACAACGACUGCCAAGACGGAAGCGACCAAGUAGGGUGUCUAAAAUGUGGAAAUUCUACGCUGCACUUUCAAUGCAAAAACGGCAAUUGCAUCGACAAGAAUCGCGUGUGUGACACGUAUAACGACUGUGGAGAUGGAUCGGAUGAGAUGUUUUGUAGGUUCUCUUUUAUGAUGGGUUGGUGUGGGUCGAUGGAGUAUAGGUGUCCUAACGAGAGGUGUGUGAGUGGAGCGAAGCUGUGUGAUGGGAGAAAUGAUUGUGGCGACGAUUCUGAUGAACAAGGAUGUUUCAAAGAUUCAAGUAAAAAGUGCCCCGAUGGCUGGACCUUCCUCAACCAACGCUGCUACAAAAUCGAAUACCAACUCUUCCCAUGGUCGACGGCACAGGCCACGUGCGCAUCCAACGGAGGUCACCUGACCAAAAUUACAUCACAAGAAGAAGAGGACACACUCAAGAAUCUUAUCACAUCCCAACAUAGUGGAUCUUUAUCCUUCUGGAUCGGUCUGUCCAGGGGCGCGUCGCAGGGCUUUCAGUGGACAGAUUCUGUGGCAGUUGGAAAGUACACGUCCUGGGAGUAUGGAGAGCCCAGUGUCGGAAAAAACUGCGUUAGUUUGAUAAACAAUACCAUGAAAUGGCGCGCUGAGAACUGUGAUUUGGGUAUCCCAUUUAUUUGUACGAGAGAUUCACUGUGUAAGCACAAUUGUCAGAACAAAGGCACCUGUCAAUCAUCAAGAUGUGUCUGUGCAGCUGAUUGGUCAGGAGAGGACUGCUCUUUCAAAUUUCCUAACAUCACAUCCCUAGAUGAUAUAGACAUAAAAGUCCUUUAUAAUUCGAAUAUUUCUCUGAGCUGUCAAUCAACUGGAGUGCCACGCCCCAACGUCGAGUGGUUGGUAAAUGAACAAGCUGUUGCUGGGCAACGGGAUAUUAAAGUUUUUAACGAGCCUUUCAUCACGAACAUAACGAUUCACGUGAAAAGCAACACAGAAAUGAGGUGUACGUCAAAGAAUCGAGGAGGGCUUGACAGCGUUAGGAUAAGAGUCACCGUGGAGGACGAUGAUGUAGUGAAUGUCAAGGCCAUAAUUCGUCUAUGGAACAUGAAGUACGAUAAAUCCUUAGAGAACCCUCUGUCGGGAGAGUAUCAGGCUCUGGCGAGCAGGUUGACUUAUGCGAUAUCCAGUCUGUAUCAAAAUAAGUUAGGGUACAAGGGACUUGGCAUCUUAUCAUUCAGACCAGGCUCUUUAACAUGUGAAGUGCUCGUUCGGUUCAGCAAAAAUAGCGAAGAAGAACUGACGAGAAUAUUAAAAGAUGCAAUAAACUCAGGAAUGAUAGCGAACUUGACUGUUGACUCCAAGUAUCUGGCUCUGGAAAAGAAAAAUAAAGCUUGUCCGCCUGAUUUCUUUAACGUAACGUGGUUUGCUUCAUUACCAUCGAAUAUUCGUGUACAGCGGUGUCCUCAUGGGUCUAUUGGAACAGCAAGAAGAAGGUGUAGCGAGAACGGCCAAUGGGAACACCCUGACUACACACAGUGUGUCACCCAAGAUAUAUUGGACCUAAAGCACAGGAUGGACACAGCGCUGAACAAAACCACUCCUUCACCGAGCGAGAUACAAUCCAUACUGGAUGAUUUAGUCCGGAAGUCUCACCGUGAGAAAGGCGACGCUAAAAUAGCGGGUGAUAUCAAAACCUGUACUCAGAUACUCAAAGAGGUCGUUGAUUAUAAUACCAAGCACACGGGUGAUACGGAGACAAAUGUGGAUAAUAUACGGAACUUCUUGUCUUCAGCAAGUAACCUCCUUGAUUACGAAAAUAAACAAGAAUUGGUGAUUUUACAAGAAUCUGACAACAUUACGUCCCUUUUGAUCUACGUGCUGGAAGGAUUUGGUCUACAAGCAGCUGGAGGACUAGAAACUAGUGCAAGUCGCACGAAGCAAUACGUUGCUGAUAACUUAGUUAUGGGUAUAACACUGGUGUCGAUGGCGUCACCUGAUGACGUCACAUUCCCCAAUUACACCGAUCAGCAUAUGACUUCACGGUCUGAGUGGAACUCGAUGCUAGAAAAAAACUACAUAGUUCUACCCAAGUCUACAUUCGACAGCAAUAACAAAAUAAAGAACAAAGUGAGCAGAGUUUCAAGUUUUCUUUACAGAACCCUAUCAACAUUUCUUAACAUUCCUAGUGCAUAUAGUAAGGUUGGUGAUGAGUUCUUACUGAGUUCCAACGUAAUAUCUGCUUCUAUUAAACCUUCUGUGUCGCUGAGGGAUCCCGUCAAGACUAUCUACGGUAAAGUUCAGGAUCCAGACAAGCCUCUCGCCUGUGUCUUUUGGGAUUUCAGUCUAAAUUCUAAAAAAGGCGCUUGGUCACGUGAUGGUUGUAGUCUGUCGUCACGUGACGGCAGCAAAAUCACGUGUGAAUGUAAUCACCUGACUAACUUUGCGGUACUGAUGGAUAUAUCUAAUGUUAAGGGACACGAGUUUCCUCUGCGCAUUAUUUCGUCAGUUGGUUGUGCGGUUUCUCUUCUCGGUCUUGUCAUAACUCUGUUCGUCCAUUUUAUUUUCUGGAGGAACUUAAAGUCAGAGAAGACGAUUAUUCACGUGAACCUAUGCGUUGCUCUUUUGACUGCCAACAUCAUUCUCCUGGCGGGUUUGGAGAGUACCAAGUAUAAGUCAUUAUGCACAGCUGUAGCAGUCCUGUUACAUUACUUCUUCCUAUGCGCCCUGGCCUGGAUGCUUGUGGAGGGAAUACAAAUAUACGUUGCCAUAGUGAUGGUUUUCCAAUUCGAGAGGAAACGAAAAUAUUUCUACCUGAUUGGUUGGGGUACGCCGUUGAUGAUCGUCGGGAUUUCAAUGGCUGUGACACAGAUGAAAGGAUAUGGAGGAGAAAAUGCUUGUUGGCUGUCCAGUGAUGGUGGUUUGAUUUUCGCCUUCAUUGGACCCGUCCUCGCAGUUGUACUGGUCAAUAUCAUAAUAUUUAUUCUUGUUAUGCGCGCCAUGAUGACAACACAUAAAAUGAUAUCAGCGGAUGAAAUCCAGAAAGCCAGAGUCGCUGGAAAAUGCUGUGCUGUUCUUCUGCCUUUACUUGGUCUGACAUGGUUAUUUGGUGUCCUUGCUAUUGAUAGCAGCACCGUUGUCUUCUUAUAUCUGUUCGCCAUCUUUAAUUCUCUACAGGGUUUCUUCAUAUUUAUCUUCCAUUGCCUCCUCGACCUCCAGGUCCAAACCGCUGUUAAGAGCUGGUCAGUCAAGAGAGAACGAACAGAAUCGAACCUAGGCCUGCGCGCACUCUCGUCUUCAUCCAAUCCAAGCAACAGGCUGGACACCAGGACGUCAAGUGCUGCAUCUACGUUGCCAACAGACAAAAGACGCAAAAAUAAAAGCGAAAAGGACAACUUCGACACCGUAGUCGUAUGAAGAGCCAUUGCUAAGAAAUUGGGAAUUUUCUAAAUCAUGGAUUGAGGAUUUGCCAUCACUUCGCAAGAAACUAAAAGCUUAAAAUUGGCUUGAAAACUCUCUCUCUGCCGACAAGGUUUUCAUUCCAUUCCAACGAGAGAUUGUGACACUCUUCAAUGUGCUGGUCGCAUGUUUGAUUGGAUUUUCAGGUAAAUAUUGAAGCCAAAUAAUAUAAUCGUUCUUUCUUCUACCGCUGGUGUCAUCCAUCCCAUCCCAUUCAUCCUUCCAUUUACAAGU
rnacentral:misc_RNA from 1 species